GGGUGUAUAGCUCAGUUGGUAAGAGCGCACGACUGAUAAUCGUGAGGUCGGUAGUUCAAAUCUACCUAUACCCACCA
rnacentral:tRNA from 2 species